rnacentral:hammerhead_ribozyme from 1 species
AUCCAACGGACGAGUCCAAAAUAGGACGAAACGUACAUCCUGAAU